rnacentral:rRNA from 1 species
GCGCAGCAGUCGCGAAUUUUUCUCAAUGGGGGAAACCCUGAAGGAGCGACGCCGCGUGGAGGAUGAAGGCUUUCGGGUUGUAAACUCCUGUCAUUUGAGAACAAGUGCCAACAAGUAACUACUGUUGGCUUGAUAGUAUCAGAAGAGGAAGGGACGGCUAACUCUGUGCCAGCAGCCGCGGUAAUACAGAGGUCCCAAGCGUUGUUCGGAUUCAUUGGGCGUAAAGGGUGCGUAGGUGGCGUGGUAAGUCGGGUGUGAAAUUUCGGAGCUUAACUCCGAAACUGCAUUCGAUACUGCCGUGCUUGAGGACUGGAGAGGAGACUGGAAUUUACGGUGUAGCAGUGAAAUGCGUAGAGAUCGUAAGGAAGACCAGUGGCGAAGGCGGGUCUCUGGACAGUUCCUGACACUGAGGCACGAAGGCUAGGGGAGCAAACGGGAUUAGAUACCCCCGUAGU